rnacentral:rRNA from 1 species
CCUACGGGAGGCAGCAGUGAGGAAUAUUGGUCAAUGGACGAGAGUCUGAACCAGCCAAGUAGCGUGAAGGAUGACUGCCCUAUGGGUUGUAAACUUCUUUUAUAUGGGAAUAAAAUGUUCCACGUGUGGGAUUUUGUAUGUACCAUAUGAAUAAGGAUCGGCUAACUCCGUGCCAGCAGCCGCGGUAAUACGGAGGAUCCGAGCGUUAUCCGGAUUUAUUGGGUUUAAAGGGAUCGUAGGUGGAUUGUUAAGUCAGUUGUGAAAGUUUGCGGCUCAACCGUAAAAUUGCAGUGGAAACUGGCAGUCUUGAGUACAGUAGAGGUGGGCGGAAUUCGUGGUGUAGCGGUGAAAGGCUUAGAUAUCACGAAGAACUCCGAUUGCGAAGGCAGCUCACUGGACUGCAACUGACACUGAGGCUCGAAAGUGUGGGUAUCAAACAGGAUUAGAUACCCUGGUAGUC